GGUAUAGCUCAAGUGGUAGAGCACAUGCUUAGCAUGCAGGAGGUCCUGGGUUCAAUCCCUGAAUUACCU
rnacentral:tRNA from 1 species